AAAUCAGGAUUUCCCAUUCCCAAACCUUGGCCCGAUGCAGGAGGAGGAGGCCACGAGGAAGAGGAAGAUGGUGUGGGAGUCCCAGGCAGACAAGGAGCUGAGGAUGGAGACCAAUGAGGACAAAUCCCCAUGGCAGAACCUCGUGGAAGAGGCCGAUUUGAGCAGCUCCACAGCAAAGGAAUCUAAUGGGGAGGAAAAGCCCAGGAGAUCCCACAUGAGGAGGGGCUGCAAACACAGAUCACGGGGAUCCGAGGAGGAAAGACCCAACCUGUGCCAGGGAGGCGGCCAGAGCUCAGAGCUGGGGGUCCAUGAGCAGCUUCAUGAUGGGGAGAAGCUCCACAAGUGCUCAGAGUGUGGGAAGAGCUUCAGCCAGAAAUGUGACUUGAUCCGCCACUGGAGAAUCCACACUGGAGAACGGCCCUACGAGUGUGAUAAAUGCAGGAAGACGUUUCAGAUGAGUUCGUGUCUUGUCAGGCAUCAGCGGAGUCACACAGAGGAGAAGCCUUUCCACUGCCCCAGCUGUGCGAAGGCCUUCAGGAACAGCUCCGGCCUGGUCACCCACCUGCGCAUCCACACCGGGGAGAGGCCCUAUGAGUGUCCCGAAUGUGGGAAGAGCUUCACCCAGAACUCCACUCUGACUGCCCACCUGAGGAGCCACACAGGGGAACGGCCCUACGAGUGUGCGGAGUGUGGGAAGGGCUUCAGGACGAGCUCUGAACUGACCAUCCACCAGAGAAGCCACACCGGGGAACGGCCCUAUGUGUGUUCUGAGUGUGGGCAGAGCUUCCAGAAGAGCUGCCACCUGACCCGCCACAUGGCAAUCCAUACAGGGCAACAGCCCUUCAAGUGUGGGCAGUGUGGGAAGAGCUUGAGGUCGAGGUCUGAACUGAUUGUCCACCAGAGGAGCCACACGGGGGAACGGCCCUACGAGUGUGGGCAGUGUGGGAAGAGCUUCAUGUCAAAGUCCCACCUGAUCUACCACCAGAGGAGCCACACUGGGGAGAGGCCCUACGAGUGUGAUAAAUGCAAGAAGACGUUUCAGACCAGCUCCAGUCUCAUCCUGCACCAGCAGCUUCACACAGAUGAGAGGCCCUUCCGCUGCCCUGACUGCAGGAAGGGCUUCACCCGCAACUGCAGUCUCGUCACCCACCGGCGCAUCCACACUGGGGAGAGGCCCUACAAGUGUUCUGAGUGUGGGAAGAGCUUCUCACAGAGCAGCCAGAGCUCAGAGCUGGGGAUCCAUGAGCAGCUUCAUGAUGGGGAGAAGCUCCACAAGUGCUCAGAAUGUGAGAAGAGCUUCAGGUGGAGAUCCUACCUCCUGGCCCACCUUCGUGUGCACACAGGCGAGCGGCCCUAUGAGUGUGGGGAAUGUGGGAAGAGGUACCGGCACGGCUCCCACCUCCUCCACCACCAGCGGGUGCACAUGGGCAUACGGCCCUAUAAGUGUUUGGAAUGUGGGAAGAGCUUCAGCAAGAAUUCCCACCUGCUCUCGCACCAGAAGAUCCACACGGGGGAACACAAACACCCCUACAACUGUGGGGAAUGUGGGAAGAGCUUCAGAGACAGCUCCACCCUCCUCACCCACCUGCGCGUGCACACCGGGGAACGGCCCUACACGUGCUUUGAAUGUGGGAAGAGCUUCAGCGUUCGGUGCAGUCUGACCUCCCACCAGAAGAUCCACACUGGGGAAUGGCACUACGAGUGUUCUGAGUGUGGGAAAAAGGCUCGGAGCACUUCGGAUCUCCUCAAGCACCAGCGCACACACACAGGGGAGAGGCCCUUCCGCUGCCCCGACUGCGGGAAGGGCUUCACCCGCAACUUCAGCCUCCUCACCCACCGGCGCAUCCACAGCCGGGAGAGUCCCUUCAAGUGUCCCGAGUGUGGGAAGAGCUUCUCCAGGAGCUCUCACUUGACCAAACACCAACAGAGCCACCGGUAAGGGAAGCCCUGUGAGGGCCCUGACUGCAGGAAGAGCUUUGUCUGCUGCUCCAACUCCAUCCCCCAUCAGAAGAUCCCCUUUGGGCAGAGCCCUGGUGACCCACAUUCCCAGUGAUCCAUGUUGGGAAUACAGCUGGCUGGUGCUCUCUGUGCCCUCCUGGAUCCCCAUGGGUACCUGGAUGAAUGCAGGGGCAGGAACAGGAGCAUCCAUCAGGACAGAGACUAACAUCAGGAAUUCAUUGGGAAGAGGAGAUUUGUUGACUUUAAACUCCACAAAGUCUCA